rnacentral:siRNA from 1 species
GGCGGAGGAGCUCUCUGGA